rnacentral:lncRNA from 1 species
UCUUUUUUUGGAAGAGAUCUUUAUUAAUAGAGUGCUUUUAUUAAUAAUUCAUACCUUGUCUAAGCGGUAAAAACCCAGCAGAGGAUUAACCCAUGCCCAUGGUAUUUGAAACUAUAAAGAAUAAAGUUUUCUCCUGUAUUUGUUAGGAAUUGCUCUUGGCUGCAAGUAACAGAGAACUGAAAUAACAGUCAUUUAACACAAGACACAAAUUUCUUUCUGUCUCAUGUAAAAGAAACCCAAGCAGCAGUCCUGGGCCCCCAAGUAUCAUCAGUGACUGUGGCUCCUUCUUUCUUUCUGAUCUGCCAUCCUCCAAGUGGGGUUUCCACCCUCACAGUCACCUCAAGAUGCAAGAACACUGCUGGUGCUCCAGCCAUUGCGUCUGCAUCCGCAGCAGAAAACUGGAGGAAGCGCCAUUUGUCUCUCCCCCAAACUUCCCCUUACAUUUCCCUAAUUGCAAGGGAGGCUGGGAUAUAUGGUCUUUGAGCUGUGCAUGUAGAUUCCCAGGAUGAGUCAGGAUUCUCUUAGGAAGGAAGGGGAAUCUGGGUAUUAGGUUGUUAGUGAGCAGUUGCUCCCACAGUUCCCACAUUCAGACAGACCCGGGUUUGAAUCCGAGCCUGCCACCCAGUAGCUUCCUGCACAUGCAGUGUGGUGCCCCGUGAGGGUGCAACCUGGCCUGGUUUGGCUGUGCCUGUCAGGUCCACACUCGGCAAAUUUGCGUCAAGGGGGUGAAGGAGAAGAAUGGUUCUAGAACUCCUAGGACUUUUGCUACCUGCUGGGGAGCGGGCGUGGCUUUCCUGCACCCCUCAAGCUCCUGGGAAGUGGGGUAUGAACCCCCCAGAGGGCUGUACCUCACGUGCUUGCUCCUGACCUGCAGGAGGAAGCGGGGCUGCCCUUUAGGGACAUUGAAUGUGGGGCAGGGGCAGUUAUGUGCAGAGAAGAGCUGAGUGACGGGGGCCUGGCCUCAGGGCUGGAGUUACGGGGCAGGCCAGACACAGACUGCAAGGGCUCCCCAGGGUCAGUGAGAGGAUGGGCCCUUCUCAGGGUGACAAGAUAAUUUAUUGAUCUUCCAAAUCAGGAUGCAUUUGAGUCCAUAGGGUGCGAUUAGCAAGUAUUACCCUAAGCCCAGGGGUAAAUCAGGCCUGUCCUGGGACCCUGGGGUGUGUGGUCACCCCACCUUCACCCUACCCAGGAACAUGGGGCCUGAGUCUCCAGCUAAGCUCACUGGGCAUGGUUUUCAGGUUAGGAAGGCGGCAAGGGCUCAAGGCCUGGCAAGCUGUUCACAAACAAAGGGUCGAAACAAAGAAAUAAUAAUACAUUUUAAUGCAAGAGAAAUCAUAGCCUGG